UCUCUUAUUGCCAGCUGAAAAUUGUUUAGAGUCAUAAGGAGGUCCCAGAAGACACUUUUCCCUCUCCUAUCUUUUGGCGGCAGCUUUCCACCUCUUCCAUACAGUUCAGGUGGAGAUUUUCUCUGUGGCUUGCUGUAUAUGGACACGGAUGCUCUGGGAACGUGAAGGACACAAGGUUUUGCUUUUCACCUUUGGGUGAAGGCUGCUUUGCUGUUCAGUUUUCUUGGCUUGCCCAUAACUCAAACCAAUCUAAAGUAAAAUACAUACUGAAUUUAUUUUCUCCUCAACUGACCAGAAAUCAUCAAGAAGCAAGUUUGACUAUGGAAAGGCGUGAUGCUCCCUUUCUCAGUCUCCCUGGGCAAAAAGACAAGCUUUGCAAGAUUGAGUGAAGAGCCUCUACACUGUUCCACAUGCAUCCAAAAGCAAGUUCAGGCUUCAGAGGAAUCUGCAGAAGAUAUAAUUAUGCUACUGCAUUUUAGAAAGGUAAAGCUACGCAAAGCAGCAUAUUCACACACCUUGUCUGAAGCAACUAAUUUUGUUCAGAGCACUCUGGAGAUGCCAGCAGCCAUGCAGGAAGCUUAUCUUCAUACACAGGUAUGUACUCUUGAUGUCUAAUGGAACGUGAUGUCUAAUGGAACAUGGAAAAGAGGGCAAGAUGCUGCCACUGCUUACAUUCUGUUACAGAACAGAGUUGUGAACCUUGCCCAUGAUUAUGAAUGGUUUUCAUCACUUUACUAAAAUGGUUGUAAAAGGCCAAAGAAAUACAGGGAACUAAGAUGUGAAAAAAGGAAUGCAUAUUUUUGUUGUAGAGCUGAUGGAAUUUUUUUGCUGUAGUGCCUCCUGUCUCUCUUCCUUCAGUUGGACACUAGUGAGUCCUUACAGCAAGUCCAUCUUUGCUUACAUUCUUUUUCAUACAAUAAUUAGCUGUUAUCAAAAUUAUUUUCUUAAAGUGCUUACCUAUGAUAUUUUGGGUAUCAUCUGUGGGUGGACAGUGGAGCUGAAUAAGAGCAAAGAUCUUCUUUAAGGUAGAGGGGAAAAAAAAAAAAAACACGUGUAUUUUUUUUCCAAGAGAAAAUAUGGAAUCACUUUUAAAUUCAGAGGGAUUUUGAGACUGAGUUUUAAAAUCCUAGGGUAUACGUGUGAAAUAAUCUAUCAACUAAAAGCUAUGGGCUGGUCAGCUGACCUACAACCUCUGCUACUCUGAUACUCUCCAGUGUGUAGUAGUAUAUGAUUCAUAUGCACUUAUUUCUGACUGUGUUCAUCUUUGAAAUAAUCACUUCAUUCUAGAUAAAUGUAUUCAGUGCUAUGACUGCUCCAUCCAUCAUAUUAGGUAGGGUUGUGCAGCUGAAUGCAGUUCUAUUCCAAAUAAUGAUGGUCUCUAAUAUUUUCCUGAAAAUGUGGGUAAUUUAUUAUCAUAGGCUAAUUAUGCCCAAUACGGCUGCAGGCUGACAUUUAUUGUGAGAGGUGGGCUGGAGGGAGUCAGGAGGCAUUGCGUUGUCACCAGAGCAGUUUCUGGGAGGGAAUUUAGCUGCUUGUCCAGCAUUUCUGCCAGAGCUCAGGGAAGUGUUUCCCUCCCUGCAGAGCCUGCUGAAUGCAUUCUCUUCUCCCCCAUUUCGGACAGGAUUGAUGGUUCCUGGUACUUCUCCCUGCUUAGGGAUCACAAAGGCUCCUCCUCCUCUCCCCACAUCAGCUCAUGGGCAGGAGAAAUGCAGGUGCUUUAUUUCAAUGGCAGGCACCUUCCCACUGAAGCUAGGUCAGUUGCUGGAUUUGCAGGCCACAGAUUCCUGCACCCCAUGGCAUUGGUUCCUUGUCCAAGUGGCAACUUCUAGCAAUUCCUCCUCCUCAUCUAUGAAUGCACAGAUAGGGGAUGCAGAGCAGUAAAAUCCAGGUUAAUGGCUGCCUCCUCAUCUGAGACAGGUUCAGCCCUGGACCUUCCCAGAAAAACUCUAGAUCUAGGAAUUUCCUUCAACAUGUGUUCUCCCAGGCAGAAAGAAGAAAUGCCACCCAGCCUUUCUAUUGUACUUUCACCUUUUUCUUCUCGGUGCUUCUCUUGCAUUGCUGCUCUUUUUUUUUUCAGAAAUUAAUAGCUGAGCAAAACA